GACGAACGCUGGCGGCGUGCUUAACACAUGCAAGUCGAACGGAAAGGCCCUGCUUUUGUGGAGUGCUCGAGUGGCGAACGGGUGAGUAGCACGUGAGUAACCUGCCCUUGACUUUGGGAUAACUUCAGGAAACUGGGGCUAAUACCGGAUAGGAGCUCCUGCUGCAUGGUGGGGGUUGGAAAGUUUCGGCGGUUGGGGAUGGACUCGCGGCUUAUCAGCUUGUUGGUGGGGUAGUGGCUUACCAAGGCUUUGACGGGUAGCCGGCCUGAGAGGGUGACCGGCCACAUUGGGACUGAGAUACGGCCCAGACUCCUACGGGAGGCAGCAGUGGGGAAUAUUGCACAAUGGGCGGAAGCCUGAUGCAGCAACGCCGCGUGCGGGAUGACGGCCUUCGGGUUGUAAACCGCUUUCGCCUGUGACGAAGCGUGAGUGACGGUAAUGGGUAAAGAAGCACCGGCUAACUACGUG
rnacentral:rRNA from 1 species